UGUCCGCGCCCAGGAUUCGAACCAACAAAACACUGGGCCGCCUGCGGCGGAGCACACGAACUCAACCACUCAGCCAUGGGGCCACCCCCAUCCUUACAUUUCUGAUGCUCUUUGUUCCUUCCUGCAGAUUUAUGAUUCUAUCUGGGACUAUUUCUCUUUAGCCUGAAGGCCAUCCUUAGUAUUUGUUGUAUUGAAGUUCUGCUGCCAGCAAAUUAUCUCAGUGUUUGUUUUCCUGAAAAUGCCUUUAUUUUACCUUGAGUUUUGAAGGACGUUUUCACUGGAUAAAGAAUUCUAGGUUGGCAGUUUUCUUUCAGUGCUUUAAAGAUGUUGUCCUAUUAUUUUCUGGCUUCCAAUGUUCCUGAUGAGAAGUCAGCCAUAAUUCUUAUUGUUCUUCCCUUGAAUGUGAUUUGUCCUUUUUUUCUCCAGCUGAUUUUUAAGAAAGUUCUCUUUAUCUGUGAUUUUAGUAAUUUGACUAUGAUUUUCUGUGUAUGGUGUUUUUGUAUUUAUCCUCCUUGAGGUGUGCUGAGUUUCUUGAAUCUGUGGGUUGAUAUCUGUCAUUCGUUUUGGAAAAUGUUUGGUCAUUAUCUCUUCAAAUAUUUUCUCUGUCCCAUUCUCUUUCUCCUUUCAUUCUGGAACUCUAAAUACACAUAUAUUAGCCCAUUUAAUUUGUCCCGUAGUUCUUGGAUGCUUUGUUCCAUCUUAUUUUAUUAUUCUUUUUUUUCCCUGUAUGCUUUAUUUUGGAUAAUUUCUGUUGACCCGUCUUUGAUCCUUUCUUCACAGAUCCUUUCUUCUGCCAUGUCCAAUAUGCUAUUAAAGUAUCUCCAAGGAAUUCUUCAUUUCAGAUACUGUAUUUUUCUGUUCAAGAAUUUCCAUUUAAAACGUUUCAUUUCUAUGCUGAAUUCCCCCAUUUGUGCAAAUGUUUUGUCCAUCUUUUCCUUUAAAUCCUUUAAUACGUUUAUAUAUUUAGUCUUUGCCAAUUCCAGCACCUGGAUUAUAUUGAGUUUACUGCUAGUGACUUUUUUCUCUUGACUAUAGGUCACAUUUCCUACUUCUUUACGUGUCUAGUAAUUUCUUAUUAUAUGUUAGACAGUUUGAAUGUUACAUUGUGGAAAUCUGGAUUAUGAUAUCACCCUCUGAAGAGCGUUGUUGUCUUUUUUUCUGGUGGGCAGAUAACUAACCAGAGGAUCGUCUUGAUCUUGUUGAGAAUUGAUUUUAGACUUUGUUACAAUGAGUCAAUUUCAGUUUUACCCACAGCCCUAGGGUGAAGCCCUUCUCAAUAGUAGCCUUUCUAGAUUUUCAGCAGAAUUCUCAGAGUAUUCUCCAAGGUCUCUCCUCUCUCAUUGGCUCAGGACUCCAAUAUUACUUCAACACUGAGAUCUCUGAAAUCUCUGUUCAGCCCUCAGCCUCCAAGCAGGUUUUCUGCCAGGCCUUGUGGAGUCUUGCCCUGUGCUUGCACACCUUAGGAUUCAGCUGUGGACCUGAAGGGAAUCCCUGUGCAGAUUUUGAAGGCUCCAUCUCUGCUGCUUCUUCUCUGUAAUCUUUCUUUGGUAAUCUGCCCCACAAAUUCUAGCAGUUUUAACAGCCCUAAACUCUGAACUCUCUUUCUACACCCAGUGGACUUUAGCUCUUUGCUUGGAAUCUGCUUUCCUGUGCCAUAGUUUGAAAACUACCCCCAGGCAGAAAGUCAAGGUGAAUGUGGAGCUCAGCCUUGUGCUUCCUUUUGCUUGAGGGUGAUAGCCUUGCAUUGCCUGUGGUUCAAUGCCUGAUAGUGUUUAUUUCAUAUAUUUUGUCCAGUUUUAUAGUUAUUUAUGUCAGGCAGAUAAGUCCCAUACCAGCUACUCUGCCAUGGAUAGAACCAGAAAUUUCUCCUAUUCUUCUCUGAGUCCUUUCCAAUUAAGCUUUUAUCCUCAAGACCCCAGUCUUUUCAAGGUCACUACUGACCUCCACUUUGCUGACUCUGAUUUUCAUUACGAGGUCUCAUCUAACCUGAACGUUCAGCAGCAGUCUCCAUUGUUGAACACCCUCUUCUUGAAACACCUUUUUUUUUCACUUGGCCUCCAGGAAACCAUUGUUUCUUGAUUUUCCUCUUACUUCAGUGACAGCACCACUUUAGUCUUCUUUGCUUGUUCCUCCUCAUCUUCUUGGCCUCCAAGUGCUGGAAAGCCUCAGAGCUCACUAAGAUCUCUUCUUUUCUCUUCUUGGGAAUCGCAUUGAUUCCCAAGGCUUUAAAUACCAUCUACAUAUUCACAAUUCCUAAAUUUGUAUUUCCAGCCUUGAUCUCUGCCCUGAAAUCCAGACUUGGGGCUCCAACUGCUUUUUUUAACAUCUCCACUUGGGAGUCUAAAAAGCAUCCCAAAUUUAACAUGUCCAAAACAGAACUUAUAAUUUUUUCCUUCACAAGCCUGCCUUUCCCAUCUUAAUAAAUAACUCCAAUCUUCCAGUUUUUCAGGCCAAUAAUUUUGGAGUCAUCCUUGAAACUUCUCUUUUACUCAAACCCCACACCCAACCCACCCAAGACCUUUCGUUGGCUCAGCCUUAGAAAUCUGCCCACCAUCUCUCUCCUGGAUUAUUGCAACACUUCCUAAACAGCUUCCUUGCUUCCACCCUUGCCCUCUGUAUCAGCCAGGGACAUGGCAGGCUACAGAUGGCACACUCAGAGGAUACGACUGCAGAGAAUUUAUGAAAGGGGCUGAUCACAAGUUGUGGGUGGGGUCAAGGGUACCAACAAGGGAUAGUGAAGCAUCCUGUCACCACCCCUAGGAUGAGUAAGAGUGAUAGAUGCUAGAAAGGACCUCUUGAUGGGAGCCAUAGCCUUUGGCAGAAAAAGUCAGCAACUGCCACACUACAGCCCAGCAGUGAGAGAGCCAGAGGAAUCUGAUCUUGUGCCCCUGUCUUCCUCUGGCUGGACCUAACUGGAAGCCAAAGUGUUGGGAGUCCAUUGAUAUAGUGCAUGGAGGUUAGCCUCCCUGGGCAGAAAGCCGGGUAGAGAAGGGGAUGGUGGGUUUAGAAGGCAAAUGGGGAAUCUCCAUCAAACCCGAUCCCCUCCUCACAUAUGCACACACUGUGGUCCAUCCUCCACAGAGCAGCCAGAGUGAUGUGUUCACUGCAGCAGAGCAGAGGGGAGAGCAGAGCCACAAGAUGGAUGGGGCCUGGGUCUGAGAAACACUCGAUGGAGGGGACCUGCCUGCCGACCAGGAAACCUCUAUUGUGUUUGAGUUAAUAGAUAUUUGGGAGUCUCUUUGUUACAGUUUAGCCCACUUGACUGAUACUUCUGUGAAACAAGGGUCACAAGAGUGUCAUCUCCAUAGGGUUGCUGGGAGAAUUAAAUAAGAUAUAAUUGCUUAGGGCAAUGCUUAGCAUAUUGUAAGUUCUCAAGCAAUCAUAACAAUUAUAAAUAUUUGAAAUGAAUACAUAAUCAUGCUAUUAAUCAUUUUUUUCAAAUGCCUCAUUACAGGUUUUGGGGAUUUUUCUAGAGAAUAGACAAAUUGUGGAGGGUAUAGGUAUAUAUGGGAGGAGAGAAUUACAGCCUCCCCCCCACAAGAGGCUUCUGGUCCACUUGGCCUCCAGGCAGAGAACCCAAGAGCUUGUUCCAGCCCUGUCCUGAGCAAAACACCCCCACUGGGGUCACACUGUGGUACCCAGUCUCCAAAGAUGGCCUCACGGGACCAUGACUCCCAGCACCCGCUCCCCUGGGAGGUCCCUCCCACACUGAAUCUGGGCUGACCUGUGACUCAGUUCAGGAUAGGGCAGAAGGUACUCUGUGCCUGUUCCAGGUCAAUGCCUUCCACUCUUGCACUUUUGGGAGCCCUAAGUCGUGACAAGCAGUGUGGCUCCCCUGUGGGAGAGACCAUGUGGAGGGGUCACGUGGAUAGGCAGAGACCCUGAGACUCCGUGGAGAUGGAGAGAGAGGCCCAGUCAUCCCAAUGAACCAGAUGAGGCCAGCCUUCCGGUUGUCCCCGCAAAGGCACAAGCCACGUGUAUGAGCCAUCUGCAAGCUCUCCAGCCGGGUGGAGCCCCAGACGACGGCCACUCAGCCAACAUCAGAGAGCAGAAGACUCAUCUGGCUGGGCCCAGUCAACCCUCAGAGUCGAGAGAGCAUAAAAUGGCAGUUGUGUCAAGUCACUUAGUUUUUGGGUGGUUUGUACAUGGCAGCAGGUAACCAAACAGCAACCAGAGCCGGCCCACGGGAGCAGCGUUUGCUGCCUUGAAUUUCCAGCUCGCCCAGCCUCUCACUACAGGGAAACCAAGGGCCAUGUUGCAACCAGAUGCAGGCGGGCUGGGGUGGGAUUCUCCAGGCUCUCUUGGGUGGGGGGGAGUCUGAAUCCUGCCCCCUUGCCGACUGGGGAGGCUGGGCUCCCUCCGCUUGUCUCCAUUCCUCUUCUUGAUUGGCACUUUAAUGAGGGCAGAAGGGGCUGACCCCCUGCCAGGGGGCCAGUUCAUGCCCCGUUUAUCUCGCAGCUCGAGGCAGACUAGAACAACACUGCAGGCGAGCGGCCGGCCAGGAGCCCCCGCCCUCGGUGAUGGAUUGAGUGACCGCGGCGAGUUGGCAGCUGAAGUGUGUGGUGGCUGCACCGUCCUGUCAGCGUGCAACAAAGGGGCCCGCUCGCCAAGCUGCUCUUCCCGGGAAGAAUGACGAGCAGCUCCCAGGGCCCGGCCGCCCUCCCCCAACUCCAACGCCAAGUUUCAAAAGACAGGCCUGAGGAUGGGGCCCAGGAUGCUGGAGGAACUGUUCUGGGGUCCAGGGGGCUGGUGCAUGGGGGUUGGGGAAUUCUGGGCUUGCAGGAAGAGCUGGCACAGAAAACUUUUUCUCUCUGCCUCCUAGUUUCAGGGUCCAAGCCUGGGCCAUAUUCUCAGCAAACAGCCCUCCUGACUGUUUCAUCGAUGGGCUCCAGAGUCCAGCAACCUGUGGGGGAUCCCAGCUGGGCCUUCUACUUGCUGUGCAACUUUACCCCCAGUCGGAAUGAGUCACAGCCCCGGCUUGUAGCCUGAAGAGCUCCACCGGCCCUUCCUUCACAGUUCAUGCGUGUUACGAGUCGCCUUCCGUCUGUCUGUGUGGGUAUUUGGUCCAUGAUGAUGAGCUUGUGUGGACAGGGGCCUUCGCUGCUCACCUAGGCGUCCCCAGCCCCUGGCAGACAGCCUGGCACAGCAGAUGCUCAAUAAAUACUUGCAGACCAGAUACCAUUGCCAGCGUGCGUCUCCCAGUAAACUGGGGACUCUCCUGGGGCAGGGACGUGUCCUGUCUUGUUCAUCAUUAUAGCCCCAAACUCAGAGCCUUGCACAGAGAAGGCUCUUGUGGGAUAUUUGGUAAAUGAAUGAAUUUGCUGCAGAAGAAAAAAGAAAGCAAGAGCAGCCAUAACCACAAAAUCAAGGAAGCUGACCUAGUUUGGGGCAAGAACUGCUGAGAAUGAGGAGAUUCUGAGUCCUUUCAUUUCAAAAGAAUUGUUCCACAUGCUUCACUGAGCCAGGUCCCUGGGGAACCAUGACAUCAGGGAAAGCUGACUGAGCCUGAGACAAGAUCAACUAAAUUACUCCAACUGGUCGACCUCUGCCGACUCUCAUGUCUGCCCACUUGCUCUUGGACAGUUGAAGGAGAGAGGUGACCCUAACACAAUCCAGGACAGCUCUGAAAAAGGAACAGACAUCAAAAACCACAAACUUUCCAAUAUUCUAAGUUUGUGAACAAAGUAGAAUGUCUGGAAAUGGGAGGUAAAGGAAGAAUGGCUACAAUAUAUAAAGAGCUCAUUAAAAUAAACAAGACAAACAUCAAGAGUCCAAGAUAUGUGAGCAAAGAGCAUGAAAAGAUCAUUUACAUACAAAGAAAUCAGAGUAAAGCAGCUGACAUUCAUGGAGUGCUUAUCCUGGGGUAAGCAUCCCAUCAAGAGUUUUACAUAUCAGGGGCUGGGCUGUGGUCGAGUGGUUGAGUUCCUGUGCUCUGCUUUGGCAGCCUGAGGUUCCCCAGUUCAGAUCCUGGGCGCAGACCGACACACCGCUCAUCAGGCCAUGCUGUGGUGGCAUCCCACAUAAAAAAGCCAGAAUGACCUAGAACUAUGAUAUACAGCUAUGUACUGGGGCUUUGGGGAGAAAAAAAAAAGAGGAAGAUUGGCAACAGACGUUAUCUCAAGACCAAUCUUCCUCACCACAAGAAGCAUACCAAAAAAAAAAGUUUUACAUCUUAUUUAAUCAUCACAGGAAGUCCAGCAAGAAAAUUCAACCAACAAAUGUGAAGUUAGGUGACUGUGACAUGUUCCUCAUUUUUUCUAUAGUAUCUAUGAAAUGCUGUAAUCUUUUUGUUUGUCCCAAGAAAACUCUUGCAUUGCUGUCUUAAUGAAAUCUCUCCAGCCCUGCUGGUCUCUGCAGGAUAUAAUUCAUUCAUUCAGCUGUGAAAGGCCGGAAAAUGUUUACAUAUUCACAACUCCGAUGUCUGUGUCUGGAAUAAAAUUAACUUAUUUCUGA